rnacentral:rRNA from 1 species
UUAAGCGACUAAGCGUACACGGUGGAUGCCCUGGCAGUCAGAGGCGAUGAAGGGCGUGCUAAUCUGCGAUAAGCGCCGGUAAGGUGAUAUGAACCGUUAUAACCGGCGAUACCCGAAUGGGGAAACCCAGUGUGAUUCGUCACACUAUCAUUAACUGAAUCCAUAGGUUAAUGAGGCGAACCGGGGGAACUGAAACAUCUAAGUACCCCGAGGAAAAGAAAUCAACCGAGAUUCCCCCAGUAGCGGCGAGCGAACGGGGAGGAGCCCAGAGCCUGAAUCAGCAUGUGUGUUAGUGGAAGCGUCUGGAAAGGCGCGCGAUACAGGGUGACAGCCCCGUACACAAAAGCGCAUGUGCUGUGAGCUCGAUGAGUAGGGCGGGACACGUGGUAUCCUGUCUGAAUAUGGGGGGACCAUCCUCCAAGGCUAAAUACUCCUGACUGACCGAUAGUGAACCAGUACCGUGAGGGAAAGGCGAAAAGAACCCCGGCGAGGGGAGUGAAAAAGAACCUGAAACCGUGUACGUACAAGCAGUGGGAGCCCCACCACUAAGCCAGUGGUGAACUCCACAUACGCAUCCUUUGCUGAAGGUGCGGUUAACGGAGCGCAAGCGACGUUCAACCUCAAAAGAAGCAGAGGGGGCUUAGUGGUGGGGUGACUGCGUACCUUUUGUAUAAUGGGUCAGCGACUUAUAUUCUGUAGCAAGGUUAACCGUAUAGGGGAGCCGGAGGGAAACCGAGUCUUAAUUGGGCGUUAAGUUGCAGGGUAUAGACCCGAAACCCGGUGAUCUAGCCAUGGGCAGGUUGAAGGUUGGGUAACACUAACUGGAGGACCGAACCGACUAAUGUUGAAAAAUUAGCGGAUGACCUGUGGCUGGGGGUGAAAGGCCAAUCAAACCGGGAGAUAGCUGGUUCUCCCCGAAAGCUAUUUAGGUAGCGCCUCGUGAAUUCAUCUCCGGGGGUAGAGCACUGUUUCGGCUAGGGGGCCAUCCCGGCUUACCAACCCGAUGCAAACUGCGAAUACCGGAGAAUGUUAUCACGGGAGACACACGGCGGGUGCUAACGUCCGUCGUGAAGAGGGAAACAACCCAGACCGCCAGCUAAGGUCCCAAAGUCAUGGUUAAGUGGGAAACGAUGUGGGAAGGCCCAGACAGCCAGGAUGUUGGCUUAGAAGCAGCCAUCAUUUAAAGAAAGCGUAAUAGCUCACUGGUCGAGUCGGCCUGCGCGGAAGAUGUAACGGGGCUAAACCAUGCACCGAAGCUGCGGCAGCGACACUGUGUGUUGUUGGGUAGGGGAGCGUUCUGUAAGCCUGUGAAGGUGGCCUGUGAGGGUUGCUGGAGGUAUCAGAAGUGCGAAUGCUGACAUAAGUAACGAUAAAGCGGGUGAAAAGCCCGCUCGCCGGAAGACCAAGGGUUCCUGUCCAACGUUAAUCGGGGCAGGGUGAGUCGACCCCUAAGGCGAGGCCGAAAGGCGUAGUCGAUGGGAAACGGGUUAAUAUUCCCGUACUUGGUGUUACUGCGAAGGGGGGACGGAGAAGGCUAUGUUGGCCGGGCGACGGUUGUCCCGGUUUAAGCGUGUAGGUGUGUGUUCCAGGUAAAUCCGGUUCACUUUAACACUGAGGCGUGACGACGAGGCACUACGGUGCUGAAGCAACAAAUGCCCUGCUUCCAGGAAAAGCCUCUAAGCAUCAGGUAACAUCAAAUCGUACCCCAAACCGACACAGGUGGUCAGGUAGAGAAUACCAAGGCGCUUGAGAGAACUCGGGUGAAGGAACUAGGCAAAAUGGUGCCGUAACUUCGGGAGAAGGCACGCUGACACGUAGGUGAAGUGAUUUACUCAUGGAGCUGAAGUCAGUCGAAGAUACCAGCUGGCUGCAACUGUUUAUUAAAAACACAGCACUGUGCAAACACGAAAGUGGACGUAUACGGUGUGACGCCUGCCCGGUGCCGGAAGGUUAAUUGAUGGGGUCAGCGCAAGCGAAGCUCCUGAUCGAAGCCCCGGUAAACGGCGGCCGUAACUAUAACGGUCCUAAGGUAGCGAAAUUCCUUGUCGGGUAAGUUCCGACCUGCACGAAUGGCGUAAUGAUGGCCAGGCUGUCUCCACCCGAGACUCAGUGAAAUUGAACUCGCUGUGAAGAUGCAGUGUACCCGCGGCAAGACGGAAAGACCCCGUGAACCUUUACUAUAGCUUGACACUGAACAUUGAGCCUUGAUGUGUAGGAUAGGUGGGAGGCUUUGAAGUGUGGACGCCAGUCUGCAUGGAGCCGACCUUGAAAUACCACCCUUUAAUGUUUGAUGUUCUAACGUGGACCCGUAAUCCGGGUUGCGGACAGUGUCUGGUGGGUAGUUUGACUGGGGCGGUCUCCUCCUAAAGAGUAACGGAGGAGCACGAAGGUUGGCUAAUCCUGGUCGGACAUCAGGAGGUUAGUGCAAUGGCAUAAGCCAGCUUGACUGCGAGCGUGACGGCGCGAGCAGGUGCGAAAGCAGGUCAUAGUGAUCCGGUGGUUCUGAAUGGAAGGGCCAUCGCUCAACGGAUAAAAGGUACUCCGGGGAUAACAGGCUGAUACCGCCCAAGAGUUCAUAUCGACGGCGGUGUUUGGCACCUCGAUGUCGGCUCAUCACAUCCUGGGGCUGAAGUAGGUCCCAAGGGUAUGGCUGUUCGCCAUUUAAAGUGGUACGCGAGCUGGGUUUAGAACGUCGUGAGACAGUUCGGUCCCUAUCUGCCGUGGGCGCUGGAGAACUGAGGGGGGCUGCUCCUAGUACGAGAGGACCGGAGUGGACGCAUCACUGGUGUUCGGGUUGUCAUGCCAAUGGCACUGCCCGGUAGCUAAAUGCGGAAGAGAUAAGUGCUGAAAGCAUCUAAGCACGAAACUUGCCCCGAGAUGAGUUCUCCCUGAGACUUAGAGUCUCCUGAAGGAACGUUGAAGACGACGACGUUGAUAGGCCGGGUGUGUAAGCGCAGCGAUGCGUUGAGCUAACCGGUACUAAUGAACCGUGAGGCUUAACCUU